AGGGUAUAGACCCGAAACCCGGUGAUCUAGCCAUGGGCAGGUUGAAGGUUGGGUAACACUAACUGGAGGACCGAACCGACUAAUGUUGAAAAAUUAGCGGAUGACUUGUGGCUGGGGGUGAAAGGCCAAUCAAACCGGGAGAUAGCUGGUUCUCCCCGAAAGCUAUUUAGGUAGCGCCUCGUGAACUCAUCUUCGGGGGUAGAGCACUGUUUCGGCUAGGGGGUCAUCCCGACUUACCAACCCGAUGCAAACUACGAAUACCGAAGAAUGUUAUCACGGGAGACACACGGCGGGUGCUAACGUCCGUCGUGAAGAGGGAAACAACCCAGACCGCCAGCUAAGGUCCCAAAGUCAUGGUUAAGUGGGAAACGAUGUGGGAAGGCACAGACAGCCAGGAUGUUGGCUUAGAAGCAGCCAUCAUUUAAAGAAAGCGUAAUAGCUCACUGGUCGAGUCGGCCUGCGCGGAAGAUGUAACGGGGCUAAACCAUGCACCGAAGCUGCGGCAGCGACACUAUGUGUUGUUGGGUAGGGGAGCGUUCUGUAAGCCUGCGAAGGUGUGCUGUGAGGCAUGCUGGAGGUAUCAGAAGUGCGAAUGCUGACAUAAGUAACGAUAAAGCGGGUGAAAAGCCCGCUCGCCGGAAGACCAAGGGUUCCUGUCCAACGUUAAUCGGGGCAGGGUGAGUCGACCCCUAAGGCGAGGCCGAAAGGCGUAGUCGAUGGGAAACAGGUUAAUAUUCCUGUACUUGGUGUUACUGCGAAGGGGGGACGGAGAAGGCUAUGUUAGCCGGGCGACGGUUGUC
rnacentral:rRNA from 1 species